UUGAGUCUCUCUAUAGAAGAAUUGAGAGAGCAAUUCGAGAGCUGGCAACCCCUUUUGAGUAAAGUUUACUUUGUAUUUUCAGCUUUUGGAUUUGUGCAUAAGAUUAUUACCUUUGAGAAGACAGUUGGAUUUCAGUCAGGGAUAUAUAAAUUGAA